rnacentral:lncRNA from 1 species
GUCAGCCUUGGUUUGUACAAAUUUCUACCUAAGACCUGCAGCCUUCCAGAAGAGCUGGAAGCUCUGACCUCUUCCCAUGUACAAUAUUGCCUCCAGUCUACCCCUGCCCAGGAUGAGGGUGUGAGUUUUGGGUGCAUCGCCUUCUGGGGCUAGCAAAGGAAACUUAGAAGUGCGUCUAGCUCUUUGUUUUCUGGUGUCUUGAGUCCCAAAACAGUGACUGAAUGACUUGCCCAGCAAUAUGCAUUAUGAGAGGGACACAGAUGGAUCCUGAUUUGGAGGAGACUGAGGCUCUAGGUUGUGGGAUGCACUUCCAGCUUCACUGAAGUGGGCAGUGCCCCAAAGUACCAGCUGGUCCACAUAUAUCUUGGACCUGGACACACUGGCAUUGGGCUUAUCCCGUCAAAUGCCCAGCUAGUAGACAAAGCAGCUCUUAGUCUAAUAGUUGCCCAGUGAAAAAAGCUUGAAUUAUUGUUUUCCCAUCCUCAUUUCCUUAAAAAGUCAACUAAUAAUAAAGUCAAAAUAGAAAUCACCCACACAAUUUACUACUGAAUUAAUUUUCGCAGUAGACUUUGUCCAUAGCAACUUUGAUUUCAUACUAUUUCAGUAAUAGUGUGGGGGGAUAGAAUUUUGUUUUUCACCUCACUUCCCAAACUUUAAAAAAAUUUUUUUAUUUGUAGAUGGACACAAUAUCUUUAUUCUUUUAAAAUUUAUUUUUAUCCGGUGCUGAGGAUCGAACCCAGUACCUUACUUCCAACUUUCGAAAAUUUCAAAUAUAUGGAAAAGUUAAAAGGAAUAGUAUAAUUGUAUGCAUACCACUUAAAGUGACCUGUGGUUCAUAUUUUACUUCUUUUGUAUUUACAU